rnacentral:rRNA from 1 species
UACGAAGGGGGCUAGCGUUGCUCGGAAUUACUGGGCGUAAAGGGCGCGUAGGCGGCACUGUUAGUCAGGCGUGAAAGUCCUGGGCUCAACCUGGGAACUGCGCUUGAAACUGUACGGCUUGAGGCCGGGAGGGGGUAGCGGAAUUCCCAGUGUAGCGGUGAAAUGCGCAGAUAUCAGGAGGAACACCAAUGGCGAAGGCAGCUCGCUGGGACGUGACUGACGCUGAGACGCGAAAGCGUGGGGAGCAAACAGG